UGUAGUUAGAAUACACACACCGUAUAGGUGUGUGUUUAUAUGUAUGUGUGAGUGGAUUGGUUGCCCUUAGAGACAGUUAUCGUUAUCGAAAUAUUUGUGGACAAUAUCAAUGUUGAAACUUGAGUUUUACUUACCCCUUAGUCGGCGGCGAUGAACUGAUUGAUUGUUUUCUAAAAAACAUAAAUUUCAGAUGAGCAAAAUGCACGCAGAAAAUGUAAAAUUAUGGAAAUUUUUCAAAUGUUCAAAUUUCUAAAUGGAUAUUAAUUUGUGAAAUCAAAAUUUUAAAUAAAAUUAUGGUUUUUAAUAUGAAAUAAAAAACGAUUUGUGCAGUUUAUAAGA